rnacentral:lncRNA from 1 species
UUUAAGUUCCCUACAUUUACAAACCGGAUUCUCUCAAGAAAUGUGUCAGUGUGCCCCUCGCAACUGGCAGCACAGCUUCAGGGCAUAUUUGACAACCUAACUCUGCUUUCUAAAACGCAACUGCGGUUCAAAGAUUCGAAGCGUAAAUCUGCAUCUCAGCCCAGUUUCCCCGGCGGCAGCGUACCUGCCGGGGAGGUGACCGAGCUGUGUCACCGUUACCCGGCAGGUUGGACGCCUCCCGUUUUGCCAGGACCGUUUCACGAGCCACCCUUUGCCGCUUACUUUCCGCAGCUCCUUGUAAGGCGCCGCCGCGCCGCUGCGAGCCCCCCCCGCCUCCGAGCCCCUUCGGCCACGUUGCCCGGGGCGGCGCCGGGCCCGGCCGAGGGGGAGCCGCUGCCGCCGGCGGACAGAGCGCGGAGGCGACCUGACAGGAGGGGGCUGCGGGGGCCUCACCCGCGGACGGGGAAGACGAGCGAGAGCGAGAGGCUGCAGCGCCGAGCCGAGACAGGUGCCGCGGGCUCGGCGGCACCCGCGGAGAGCGGCGGGGCCGGGCGCUCCCGGACGGCGGCUCGGCACCGGGGAGCGGACGAGGCGGCCGCCGCCGGCCCGGGACGCGGAGGGCACCCGGGCCCCCGGCCCGCAGCUCGCCCGCCCCCAGCCCCAUCGGAGGCGGAAGCCCGGGGGGGGAGGACGGGGGCGGGGUGCGGCCGCCCUGCUGCCCACCGCCGCCGCGGCAAAGGGCCCCGGGGGGGGGGUGGACACGGAGCACCGGCAUGGCAGCAGUGGGCCGACGAGGCGGCGGCGCUUACCGGAGCCCCCCGGGAAGGGGGUGGCGAGGCGCUGAACGCGGCGGCAGGAUGCCGUCGGCACAGCGACGGCGGGGCGGGGCGGGGCGGGGCCGGCGGGCGGGGCCGGGGCCAAACGGACCGCGCGCCCCCGGGGAGCAGCGCCCCAGCUCCGCCGCCGCCCCCCCACCCUGACGGCGACGCGGACGGGCCGAGCUCCGGGGACCCCUAG